rnacentral:rRNA from 1 species
UACGAAGGGGGCUAGCGUUGCUCGGAAUCACUGGGCGUAAAGCGCACGUAGGCGGACUCUUAAGUCGGUGGUGAAAUCCUGGAGCUCAACUCCAGAACUGCCUUCGAUACUGAGAGUCUUGAGUCCGGGAGAGGUGAGUGGAACUGCGAGUGUAGAGGUGAAAUUCGUAGAUAUUCGCAAGAACACCAGUGGCGAAGGCGGCUCACUGGCCCGGUACUGACGCUGAGGUGCGAAAGCGUGGGGAGCGAACAGG